rnacentral:rRNA from 1 species
AAGUUGAUCCUGGCUCAGAACGAACGCUGGUGGCAUGCCUAACACAUGCAAGUCGAACGAAGGCUUCGGCCUUAGUGGCGCACGGGUGCGUAACGCGUGGGAAUCUGCCCUUAGGUUCGGGAUAACAGCUGGAAACGGCUGCUAAUACCGGAUGAUAUCGCGAGAUCAAAGAUUUAUCGCCUGAGGAUGAGCCCGCGUUGGAUUAGGUAGUUGGUGGGGUAAAGGCCUACCAAGCCGACGAUCCAUAGCUGGUCUGAGAGGAUGAUCAGCCACACUGGGACUGAGACACGGCCCAGACUCCUACGGGAGGCAGCAGAAGGG